rnacentral:tRNA from 2 species
GGGGCCAUAGCUCAGUUGGGAGAGCGCCUGCCUUGCACGCAGGAGGUCGGCGGUUCGAGCCCGCCUGGCUCCACCA